GGCAUAACUGGAAGCGACGGUUCCCCGACGAUGACUCCGAGGGGAUUAAUAGGGAACACGGUGAGGACGACCCAAAAGGGACCAAGACCGUGGCUGCCCCCGCAACUGUAAGCGGAUUGCCGUCCAUCCUCGUGGUGCCGAAAGGCGCCAUGCCACUGCGCCGAUCAGGCGCGGGAAGGCAGAUGGACGACUGAUAUCCGUGAGCCAGGAGACCUGCCGUCGAAGAUCUAUCCAU
rnacentral:ncRNA from 2 species